UACGUAGGGUGCGAGCGUUGUCCGGAAUUAUUGGGCGUAAAGAGCUCGUAGGCGGUGUGUCACGUCGGCCGUGAAAACCUGCAGCUUAACUGUGGGCUUGCGGUCGAUACGGGCAUCACUGGAGUUCGGCAGGGGAGACUGGAAUUCCUGGUGUAGCGGUGAAAUGCGCAGAUAGUCAGGAGGAACACCGGUGGCGAAGGCGGGUCUCUGGGCCGAUGACUGACGC
rnacentral:rRNA from 1 species